rnacentral:misc_RNA from 1 species
GGCUAUGCAUAUAGGGGUGUUACAUAUCUUAUUAGAUCUACUGGCACUUUGGGUUGCAUUGAUGACCUAGCCCCCAAAAGAGCAAAUGCUGGCAUCUCAAUGUUUUGCAGUAAUAUACUGGUCACGCACAGUGCGCAGAGCAGCCCCCAAAUGGCAAAUAAGCUGGCAUCCACAUAGAGGGGCAAAUGCUAAUAAUAUGAAAAAAAAAUGACUAUUUAGUGUUGCUGAUGCUGAUGCUAAUGCCA